rnacentral:rRNA from 1 species
GUGGGGAAUAUUGGACAAUGGGCGAAAGCCUGAUCCAGCCAUGCCGCGUGUGUGAAGAAGGUCUUCGGAUUGUAAAGCACUUUAAGUUGGGAGGAAGGGCAGUAAGUUAAUACCUUGCUGUUUUGACGUUACCGACAGAAUAAGCACCGGCUAACUUCGUGCCAGCAGCCGCGGUAAUACGAAGGGUGCAAGCGUUAAUCGGAAUUACUGGGCGUAAAGCGCGCGUAGGUGGUUUUGUGAGUUGGAGGUGAAAUCCCCGGGCUCAACCUGGGAACUGCCUCCAAAACUGCAUGACUAGAGUACGGUAGAGGGUAGUGGAAUUUCCUGUGUAGCGGUGAAAUGCGUAGAUAUAGGAAGGAACACCAGUGGCGAAGGCGACUACCUGGACUGAUACUGACACUGAGGUGCGAAAGCGUGGGGAGCAAACAGGAUUAGAAACCCGUGUAGUCC